GGGUUGUGAGGUUAAGCGACUAAGCGUACACGGUGGAUGCCCUGGCAGUCAGAGGCGAUGAAGGACGUGCUAAUCUGCGAUAAGCGUCGGUAAGGUGAUAUGAACCGUUAUAACCGGCGAUUUCCGAAUGGGGAAACCCAGUGUGAUUCGUCACACUAUCAUUAACUGAAUCCAUAGGUUAAUGAGGCGAACCGGGGGAACUGAAACAUCUAAGUACCCCGAGGAAAAGAAAUCAACCGAGAUUCCCCCAGUAGCGGCGAGCGAACGGGGAGCAGCCCAGAGCCUGAAUCAGUGUGUGUGUUAGUGGAAGCGUCUGGAAAGGCGCGCGAUACAGGGUGACAGCCCCGUACACAAAAAUGCACAUGCUGUGAGCUCGAUGAGUAGGGCGGGACACGUGGUAUCCUGUCUGAAUAUGGGGGGACCAUCCUCCAAGGCUAAAUACUCCUGACUGACCGAUAGUGAACCAGUACCGUGAGGGAAAGGCGA
rnacentral:rRNA from 1 species